UGAUAGCCCUGAUUGUAGUGAAAAGCCCGGAGCUCAAAAAAUGUGUUUUUUUUGUGCUAGGCAAAGCGACAAUAGGAGCUCUUGGAAACCACUUAAAAAAACCAUUUUUUGAGCGAGGACUUGUAACGAAAAGCAGGAUUAGCU
rnacentral:sRNA from 1 species